rnacentral:rRNA from 1 species
CCUACGGGUUGCAGCAGUGGGGAAUAUUGCACAAUGGGCGCAAGCCUGAUGCAACCAUGCCGCGUGUAUGAAGAAGGCCUUAGGGUUGUAAAGUACUUUCAGUUGGGAGGAAGGCGUUGAUGCUAUAUCAUCAACGAUUGACGUUACCAACAGAAGAAGCACCGGCUAACUCCGUGCCAGCAGCCGCGGUAAUACGGAGGGCGCAGGCGUUAAUCGGAAUUACUGGGCAUAAAGCGCACGCAGGCGGUUGAUUAAGUUAGAUGUGAAAUCCCCGGGCUUAACCUGGGAAUGGCAUCUAAGACUGGUCAGCUAGAGUCUUGUAGAGGGGGGUAGAAUUCCAUGUGUAGCGGUGAAAUGCGUAGAGAUGUGGAGGAAUACCGGUGGCGAAGGCGGCCCCCUGGACAAAGACUGACGCUCAGGUGCGAAAGCGUGGGGAGCAAACAGGAUUAGAUACCCCUGUAGUC